rnacentral:lncRNA from 1 species
UGCGUUAUUCUCUCCUAGCUCAACGCAUGAAGAGUUGGGGAGUAAUUCUGUCAAAAUAAAAAUAAAAAUGUGUCUUUUUAAAAAAAGAAAAGGCAGAAGAGGCUCCACAAAUAACAUGUAAACAUGUGACAUUUAUUAAUUUUAUUCUGCAUCCCUACCUAAAGAUUCACUUGGUCGAUCGUGCAUGAUCCAUAAUUUCAUUUACAUGGCAUGAUUUGUCAUGACAGUUUGGCAUGAAACACCGUCUUCUACAAGCUACAGCUACACAGGUUGCAUGCACCAUGUGUCUUCUUCAAUCAUUAUGGGUCGAUCUGCCU